rnacentral:rRNA from 1 species
GACGAACGCUGGCGGCGUGCUUAACACAUGCAAGUCGAACGGAAAGGCCUUUUCGGAGGUACUCGCUUGGCUAACGGGUGAGUAACACGCGGGUGAUCUGCCCUCCCCUCUCGGAUAAACCUGGUCAACUGGGUCUAAUACCGGAUAGGACCGCACUUCUGCGUGUUUGGUGGGAAGUUUUUUCUGGGUAGGUUGGGCCCGCGGACUAUCAGCUUGGUGGUGGGGUAAUGGUCUACCAAUGCGGCGGCGGGUAGCCGGACUGGGGGGUUGGUCGGCCACAAUGGGGAUGGGAAACGGCCCAGAAUCCUAAGGGGAGGAGCAGGGGGGGAUAAUGGAAAAUGGGGGGGAGGCUGAUGCAGCGACGGCGCGUGGGGGAUGACGGGCUUCGGGGUGUAAACUCCUUUCGGCAGGGACGAAGCGUUGUGUGACGGUACCGGGAGAAGAAGCACCGGCUAACUACGUG